CUGCUAAUACCGCAUACGCUCUACGGAGGAAAGGGGGCUUCGGCUCUCGCUAUUGGAUGUGCCUGCGUGAGAUUAGCUAGUUGGUGGGGUAAAGGCCUACCAAGGCAACGAUCUCUAGCUGGUCUGAGAGGAUGAUCAGCCACACUGGGACUGAGACACGGCCCAGACUCCUACGGGAGGCAGCAGUGGGGAAUAUUGGACAAUGGGCGCAAGCCUGAUCCAGCCAUGCCGCGUGUGUGAAGAAGGCUUUCGGGUUGUAAAGCACUUUCAUCAGUGAGGAAAGGUUAGUAGUUAAUACCUGCUAGCUGUGACGUUAACUGAAGAAGAAGCACCGGCUAACUCCGUGCCAGCAGCCACGGUAAUACGGAGGGUGCAAGCGUUAAUCGGAAUUACUGGGCGUAAAGCGCGCGUAGGUUGAUUGCUAAGCGAGAUGUGAAAGCCCCGGGCUUAACCUGGGAACUGCAUUUCGAACUGGUCGUCUAGAGUACAGUAGAGGGUGGCGGAAUUUCCUGUGUAGCGGUGAAAUGCGUAGAGAUGGGAAGGAACAUCA
rnacentral:rRNA from 1 species